GAUGAACGCCGGCGGUGUGCCUAAUACAUGCAAGUCGAGCGCACUGGCCCAACUGAUAUGACGUGCUUGCACUGAAUUGACGUUGGAUUCCCAGUGAGCGGCGGACGGGUGAGUAACACGUGGGCAACCUGCCCUGAAGCGGGGGAUAACAUCUGGAAACAGGUGCUAAUACCGCAUAACAACGAAAACCACAUGGUUUUCGUUUCAAAGAUGGCUUCGGCUAUCACUUCAGGAUGGGCCCGCGGUGCAUUAGCUAGUUGGUAAGGUAACGGCUUACCAAGGCGAUGAUGCAUAGCCGAGUUGAGAGACUGAUCGGCCACAAUGGAACUGAGACACGGUCCAUACUCCUACGGGAGGCAGCAGUAGGGAAUCUUCCACAAUGGGCGCAAGCCUGAUGGAGCAACACCGCGUGAGUGAAGAAGGGUUUCGGCUCGUAAAACUCUGUUGUUGGAGAAGAACGUGCGUGAGAGUAACUGUUCACGCAGUGACGGUAUCCAACCAGAAAGUCACGGCUAACUACGUGCCAGCAGCCGCGGUAAUACGUAGGUGGCAAGCGUUAUCCGGAUUUAUUGGGCGUAAAGCGAGCGCAGGCGGUUGUUUAGGUCUGAUGUGAAAGCCUUCGGCUUAACCGAAGAAGUGCAUCGGAAACCGGGCGACUUGAGUGCAGAAGAGGACAGUGGAACUCCAUGUGUAGCGGUGGAAUGCGUAGAUAUAUGGAAGAACACCAGCGGCGAAGGCGGCUGUCUGGUCUGCAACUGACGCUGAGGCUCGAAAGCAUGGGUAGCGAACAGG
rnacentral:rRNA from 1 species